rnacentral:lncRNA from 1 species
UGAUUUUCUCUGCCUUUUUACAGUAUGUAGUAAUCCAACACAUGAUAUGUCUAAUGGAAACCUUUUAUGAACGCAUUUAUGGUGACAGAUACGACUAGCACAAAAUAAGUAUUGUUUUGUCUGUUGGACAGUGUGCGCGACCACCAAGCAACACUUGUUCCAACCAAAAAUCAAAAGACAAGAAGAAGAAGAAAGACUCAAUAAUGGACCUGGUCCAGGACACUCCCAUCAGAAGAACCCUGGGCUCGAUCCAUGUGCCACUACAGGACCUGGUGUCUGGUGAUCAGAGAGUUGAUGCCCUGUGCAACCUUGGGGUGCUGCUCACAGAGCAAAGCACCAGGGCCAUGCCACCCCGAGAUAAGGACCCAAGUAAGAAAGCCAAACAUGACAAGAAGAAGGAGGACAAGAAAACUAAGUCAAAUGCUGACAGUGCAGGGGGGCAGAAGAAUGUUGCACCACCCUCUAAAAGUAACGGAAAAGGAUGGAAGGAAAGCGAGGCAGAUUUCUGCAUGGAGGACAACUCUGCUCCCAGUCCAAACCAGUUCGAGUCAAUGACUGUGGAGUUCACUGUGCAUCUGGAUAAAUGGCAUUCAGCCUCAGAAGCUCAUCACCUGGUUCACCCAUGAUGAGCCAUCAGCCUAGCUAUUUUUAUGAAGAAAAACAAAAAGUUGUCAUGACAAAUUUGGGGAUUAAAACCAAUUACGAACUCAAAUUGGUCAAAUUUAUGAUAAUACAAUGCACCCUUUUUGUACCUCAUGUUCGUCGUAGCUAUAUCAAAAUAUUGGGAAAUUCCAUUUUCAAAAGUGCAUGGAUCUCAUAGCAGGAACUGGACAUUGUCUACAAAAGUCACAAGGAAUGAAGAAUAUCCAAAUGACAAAGCGCAAGGCACGCCCUUCAAGGUUAUAGGAUCAAUUGGUGACAAUACAUGUAAUGCAACUUCCCUUCAGGGCAGUGAGGUAACUUGAAUUUAGUAACCAUAGUCGAGUCAAUUCGCAACGAUUCUCAAGACAAAUAGCAUAACUUCUUAAAAACGCGGGUAUAGUAGUAUUUGUAAUGAAUUAUAACUGGAUCAAGCAAAUUAUAAACGAAGUAUUUCAGCAACAGGUGCGCACAUUGAUUGUGCAUCCUUCCCGCUAAGGAUUGUAUGGUGGUAAAUAUCGAACAGCACAUCAGUUCUCCCCGACACUCACGUCCUAAGUAGGCUACAACUAUUUUGAUGGUCUCUUCGUCUUUGUUUUUAAUAUCAAGUAAGUGAAUUAGUGUUUUAUUGAAACUCUUUUUUUAAUGGCUAAAAAUAAAAAUGUUUGAAUAGGCGCAUAAAAGAUGAAAAUAAACCAAAUAUCUUGGGCUUGAUAGGAUCAAUUAUCAAUUGUUAAUCAAUCACGCAUUAUAUUGUAUUUCCUUGUUUUAUAAUAAGUAAAUACAGUCUAGUAUAAAAUAACUAGUGUAACUAGUAUAUCAUUGACAAAUAGUUUUGUGGUGUAGCCUAAACUAUUAUCAUAAGGUUCUUUACACCUGAGUGCUGGAACAUUAUUGAGGUUUUUCACUUUCUGUUUAUAAAACACACAAGAUAUCUUGCUCUUAAAAGAAAAUCUGAAUUAAACAAAACUUAAAUUGGAACUAAAUCAAGUGAGUGUUUGACCCUGUUUCCUUUUUAUAGGCCAGGGGCUCGUGGUAAUUGCUGAAGCGGAAUUGGUGGAAUGGUUUCCAAUACCAUUCCAUUUGCUCCAUUCCAGCUAUUAUUAUGAGCAGUCCUCUCCACUGAUGGGAAUUGCUUGUUGGCUUCGUUCAAGCACCCUGUUAUUGCUUUACGAAAUAAGCAACACAAUCUCACAUUCAAUUCGUGCAAAUAUGUACAAAAAGUAUUUCAGCAGAUUUCGUGCAUUUCUGUGUGAAAAUACACACAUUUUUUGUGCGACUUAAUUCGUAGGAAAAGACACACUUUUGUGUUACUUCAUUUAUAGGAAAAUACUGUUUUGGGGGGCAAACAUCCAAGCAAUCUUUUUAAAGUUAUUAGAGUAAUGCAUUUUGGGAAAUGUUCUUUUACGCUGCCUUUUUAUGUGUCCCACAUAAAGCAAACGUGUUAACAACCCAAUAUUGUUAAUCAGCCAUGUUUUAUUAAUGCCAAUGCUGUUUUCUAUGCUUGUUUUUGCUUAAUACUUGGGUAUAAUGGUGCUAAGCCGCGCAAAAACACACAAAAUCUGCUGAAAUACUUUUUGUAGAUAUUUGCACGAAUUGAGUGUGAGAUAGAAUAGGGCUGACAUAUGCAGCUUUUAACAAAUGCAGUCUCAGCCAAAGCGGGAACAUUGCUUUUAAAUUUCAAUUACGAUGUAAAGCUGAACUUCUAUGAUGCGGAUUGAAUAGAGACCCUAAUUUACCUGUCUAGACACCCACUUGUUAAGCAUAGCCUAGGUCCAAUGUUGCGUUCAUAGCCAAGUGGGAAACUCUUCUAUCAUCUAACUUUACCCCCAAUCUGACCUCUGACAUCACCCACUAAGGAAAUUACCUUGAUAACAGCAUUUUUGGCAGUUAAAUUAAAAAACAAAACAUUAUUUAUAAAAAACAAUUUAAGAAUAUGGCUUUUGAACACUAUGAUUUGUUUACAAGCAUAAUAGCUGUAAUUGUAGUUUAUGGUUGACACUGCUUGUGGUCAAUUAGCAUCCAACUGGUAUUUCCUACAUCACAACUGGUAAUUACCACCUUUCCACUUGAUUAUGGAUGCAGCACUACAUAUUCCACAAACAUGGUGUAUUCUGUGGUGGAGAAAGCCCCAGAGGUAGAUUGGGCGCCAGUCUGUUUGUGCCAUCAUGCCACUUCUUGUCAUGGCAAACAGCUGACAUGAUAGCACGAACAUACUGUAUCUGGGACCAGGCUGUAUCUGGGACCAGGCUACCGCAGAGGCACAAUUAUGUGUGGCCUGCAUACUUUUGGUAUAACAAUAUAAGUUUGCCGUUUGUAGUCUAUUGUAGGCCUACUACAUAUACCGGUAGAUACAGUACAUACUGAAUGACGGCACAAACAGUAAUUCUGUUACCAAACUUUGCGUCUGCACUGUUCUUCAAGAAAAUGUGUUUUUGUAAAGUUUUCAGUGGAAAUUGUUAAAAGUAGUCCUUGUGCAUAGAGUUGUAUGGUUUGCUUAACUUUGCAAUCAUUUGUUUGACAUACAUUUUAAAGUGAAAAUCUUAGUCUCAGUGUCACUCUGUUACAGUGGAAUUGCCCAUAGGCUACCAGUGCCAAUUCGGUCUCCUUGUUGCUAAAACGUAUUGUGC